UACAGAGGUCCCAAGCGUUGUUCGGAUUCAUUGGGCGUAAAGGGUGCGUAGGCGGCGCGGUAAGUCGGGUGUGAAAUCUCGGAGCUUAACUCCGAAACUGCAUUCGAUACUGCCGUGCUUGAGGACUGGAGAGGAGACUGGAAUUUACGGUGUAGCGGUGAAAUGCGCAGAUAUCAGGAGGAACACCAAUGGCGAAGGCAGCUCGCUGGGACGGUACUGACGCUGAG
rnacentral:rRNA from 1 species